GUGUAAUACCCUCGCCGGGACCGAGGACCGCGCUCUGCAAGGAUGCUGGCGUAAUGGUCACCAGCGACCCGUCUUGAAACACGGACCAAGGAGUCAAGGUUUUGCGCGAGUGUUUGGGUGUAAAACCCGCACGCGUAAUGAAAGUGAACGUAGGUGAGAGCUUCGGCGCAUCAUCGACCGAUCCUGAUGUAUUCGGAUGGAUUUGAGUAGGAGCGUUAAGCCUUGGACCCGAAAGAUGGUGAACUAUGCUUGGAUAGGGUGAAGCCAGAGGAAACUCUGGUGGAGGCUCGCAGCGGUUCUGACGUGCAAAUCGAUCGUCAAAUCUGAGCAUGGGGGCGAAAGACUAAUCGAACCAUCUAGUAGCUGGUUACCGCCGAAGUUUCCCUCAGGAUAGCAGUGUCGACCUUCAGUUUUAUGAGGUAAAGCGAAUGAUUAGGGACUCGGGGGCGAUUUUUAGCCUUCAUCCAUUCUCAAACUUUAAAUAUGUAAGAAGCCCUUGUUACUUAACUGAACGUGGGCAUUCGAAUGUAUCGACACUAGUGGGCCAUUUUUGGUAAGCAGAACUGGCGAUGCGGGAUGAACCGAACGCGGGGUUAAGGUGCCGGAGUGGACGCUCAUCAGACACCACAAAAGGCGUUAGUACAUCUUGACAGCAGGACGGUGGCCAUGGAAGUCGGAAUCCGCUAAGGACUGUGUAACAACUCACCUGCCGAAUGUACUAGCCCUGAAAAUGGAUGGCGCUCAAGCGUCCCACCCAUACCCCGCCCUCAGGGUAGAAACGAUGCCCUGAGGAGUAGGCGGCCGUGGAGGUCAGUGACGAAGCCUAGGGCGUGAGCCCGGGUCGAACGGCCUCUAGUG
rnacentral:rRNA from 2 species